UACUGCAGUGAACUGACAACAGUAGAAAACUUACCUAUUGCAUGGGUCUACUUUUUAUUUAUUUUUUUAUUAUAUGACCCAUAUUGGCAGUCAUGGACCCAAACACAAGUUCAAAUUGCACCCAAGCCUCGAACAGUACUUCGGGGGAAGAGGACCGGCUUUCGAAUGCUAGCGCGGAAACUUCGAAUCCUCCUCCAGUUAUUAGUGGUAACCUUUCUUUAAACUAUGGUGCCAGUGCAGCUAGUUCUAGUGCGAGACAAUCUCCUAAGGUGUUAACCCCACAUUCGCAAGUUUUGCUACCUCUUCGAAACUCUGUGUCUCCUUCAGUGCCUCGCAAAAUAAUGGGAAAAAAUCAUAAUAAUACCGUAUUUCCAACAUCGUUCCCAAGUAACUUGGCAGAGCUUCAGCUCUUCAGGGUGAUGCAAAAUGCCUCACUUCUACUUUACUACGAUACGUUAUUGGAAAUGGGUGGUGAUGAUGUCCAACAACUGUGCGAUGCCGGAGAGGAUGAAUUUCUCGAAAUCAUGUCACUUGUUGGGAUGGCUUCAAAACCCCUUCACGUGAGGAGGUUACAAAAAUCGCUUCAAGAAUGGGUCACUAACCCAAUAAAAUUCAAAAUACCGCUCGUCCCAGGGGAAGACUUCGAAAUCGAACUGUCAAGCCCAAGAGUGACAAGCAAUCAUGUUUUCUAUUCUGCAGCAGAUAGCGGGGAGAAUAGUCGAACAAUGUACUCGCCUUCUCCUGCUGAAAUAUGUGCCUUACCUCCUGUAGUUAGUCCCGGCUUAAAUAUUAAUAAUAAAAGACCUUAUUCACCUCUUGAUCCUGCCUGUCCUCCAUCGAGCAGUAGCAGUCCUAGUGGAAACUCAUCAUCAGUGGUUUCUCCAAGUCUAUUGGAGAAUCAAAUAUCUAAGCUAGCAGCGGCAGCAGAGAUGCUCAGCAAACAACUACCAAACUUAGAACCAAAACCUCAAAAUGCCAAAAAGAAAGUCUGUAAGGAACUAGAACUAGUGAUGUCUAUGCCAGAGAAUGAUCCUAGAAGAAUGGAUGAAAUUAGGAGAUAUGCUGCUAUAUAUGGAAGAUUUGAUUGCAAACGGAAACCAGAAAAACCUCUCACUCUUCAUGAAGUAUCUGUAAACGAGGCUGCUGCUCAGAUCUGUAAGUUUGUACCUGCACUCCUUACUAGGAGAGAUGAACUUUUCCCUCUAGCUAGACAAGUUGUAAAAGACUCUGGAUGCUAUUACUCCAAAACACAAUUAUCAGCAGUGUACCUCAAUAGACAAACUAACAUGAGCUUAGGGCAUGAGAGGGAUCAAACUGACAAUAGGAUACAGGGUCGAUUUCCUGUAGAACCGGACAGUCAUCAAAACAAAAGAAUUAAACUAGAGCCAAGCUCUGAUAAUGAUGAUCAACGCCAGGUCAGCCAAAUGCCAAGGCACAGCAAAUAUUACUUGCAUCACACUCAACCUCAGGCUUUUAUUAACUUAGAGGAUUGAUUUGACAGCUUUUUGGGCGCUAUUGGCAAUAUAAUAACAGACUUGGAGCAUGCUUUAAUGCUUUAAAUGUUUAUUCUUCUUGCUUAUUGCUUACUGUUUAUAAUAUUUAUGUAGCUUCUGCUUUCUAGCUAGGAUAUUUAUUUAUAGAUGCGAGAAGAUUUAUUAUAGGUAAGUGCAGGUACUUAAUGAGGUAAGUUUAAGGAAAAUAUCUAAUUGUUUCUCGUGCAAUUGUUUCCAUCUUUUAACGUUCUUGUGAUACUUGAUUUUUGUUUAAAAUGUGAUGUUUGAGGGUAGGAAGACAUAAUAGUGUGAUAUCUGUAUGGGCCUUAAUUUUUGUAAAAGUGUGAUUAGAAAUCGUCAAUAUUUUUUCUUUAGUAAAUUUAAAUUAAAUACAAUUUUGUAAAACCUAGUCAAAGAAAAUGUAAAUAAUAUUACGUUUAGCAUUUGUAGAAAAUAAAGUCAUGAAAUCAGAGUACAACGAUAAGACCACUAGAUUUAGUACUGCUUGAAAGUUAUUUUGAAGGUGUUGUGCUUAAGUGAAGCGAUUGAAGUGUUCAUUUUAAGUGCAUUAUUGAUGUCUAAUGUGAUUUUUAUGAGUAUUUGAGUGAUCAUUUUUAGUGAUGCUAAUAUUCAAGCGUGUGGUUUAUUUUGCGUAAGUAGAUAUCAAGGCAAAUGUUUUUAAUGAAAAAGAGCCACUGACAAAAAAUAUAUGCUAUAGCAGUGGCUUAUAGUAUUUCUAAAUAAAAUCGUUAUAGCAUAAGACAUUCCUGGAAUAUAUCCAUCAGUAUCUUCAAAUUAUUUAAAUAUUAAUUUUUGGUAGAGUAGUUCUCAAAAACUUGUAUAUCCGACUUUUCUAAUAUUAAUAUAGUGAAAUACGUAGCGAAAUUAUGAAGCAAUAUAAAAAUUAUUUUAAUUUUUUUGUAUCCUACUUUUUAACUCCGUCAAAAUUCUACACAUUUUGAGCGAUCAAUACUAUCGGGGAACUGUGGUAUAGGAGUCAAAGUUUAGAAAAAAUAGAAUUAGAGUUAAAUUUAAACAAACAUAGAUACAUUAUUAAGCUUUAUCAUCCAUUUAACGAAUUUGAUAAUUAUCCAUCACGAAUUUAAAGAAAGAGGACAUGUGCGACACAUACUCGCCCAGCUAAGGUCUCAAAUGCGGAAAUCAAUAUAUUAACUUGUACUCGUAUUGCGUAUUUUCUUUCUUAGUGACAAGGACAAGUGGAAAAUCGGCAACUCGCUGAGAGUAUUGUUCUUUCUUUUAGUUAAGUGCAUAUUACUUCGUGGAUAUUUCGGCACUGAAGAAAGAAAUUUGCAAUAAUGUAAAUAUGUAGCAGGUCUUAACAAGCAAUAAUAGUAAAAUCUUUGACAAUUAUCAACCAGUAAAAAAAGGUUCAAGCAAAAAAUGCCUGGAGAAUUUGCUGAAUGGUCAUGGAAUUGUAGUGUGCUAUUAGGCUUUAGGUACAAAAGUAUUAAAAAAGUGGAUAUUUUGGAUGAACUUAGGAUAUUUCUGGAAUAUUUUUGUUUUAUUUCUCUUGCUUGAAUAUUUUAGGAUUUUACAUUUUUUUUUCUGGUUUUAAAUAUCAUAAGCAACAUAUAUCCUUGGAAUGUCUUUAUGUUAUUAGGAUAAGAUAUUUUUUUACGAUCAUCUACUUUCUACAAAUUAAUAUGGUAUUUUAAAGGUUUCAGAAAACACCUCAUUGACAUCAAUAGGUACUAUUCAAGUUUACAAUAAGUGCCUGGCGAGGAAAGGAUUACGACGACGCGUUAGCUGUUCGGCAAUCGUUACACUCGCUAUUUCAGAAAAAUCACCAUCAAGGU
rnacentral:misc_RNA from 1 species